rnacentral:rRNA from 1 species
UACGUAGGUGGCAAGCGUUGUCCGGAUUUACUGGGCGUAAAGAGCGCGCAGGCGGUCGUUCAAGUCGAGUGUGAAAGCCCCCGGCUCAACUGGGGAGGGUCACUCGAUACUGAUCGACUCGAAGGCAGAAGAGGGAAGCGGAAUUCCCGGUGUAGUGGUGAAAUGCGCAGAUAUCAGGAAGAACACCCGUGGCGAAGGCGGCUCUCUGGGACGGUACUGACGCUGAGACGCGAAAGCGUGGGGAGCGAACAGG